GGGGAUGUGGCUCAGUGGUAAAAGCACUUGUCUAGCACAUACGAGGUCCUGAGUUCAAUCCUCAGCACCAACA
rnacentral:tRNA from 1 species